rnacentral:rRNA from 1 species
CUUUGGGUAACGGGUGCUUUUAUUAGACCAAGAUCGAUAGGGUUUCGGCCCGUAUUGUGUGGUGACUCUGGAUAACUUUGUGAUGAUCGCAUGGCCACGAGCCGGCGACGUUUCUUUCAACUGUCUGCCUUAUCAACUUUCGAUGGUAGGUUACUUGCUUACCAUGGUUGUUAUGGGUAACGGUAAGGCGGAGAAUCAGGUUCGAUUCCGGAGAGGGACCUGAAACGGCUACCACAUCCAAGGAAGGCAGCAGGCGCGCAAAUUACCCACUCCCGGCACGGGGAGGUAGUGACGAAAAAUAACAAUACGGGACUCUUUUGAGGCCCCGUAAUUGAAAUGAGUACACUCUAAAUCCUUUAACGAGGAUCAAUUGGAGGGCAAGUCUGGUGCCAGCAGCCGCGGUAAUUCCAGCCAAUAGCGUAUAGCUGCGGUUAAAAAGCUCGUAGUUGGAUCUCAGUUCCAGACGAGUAGUGCAUCUACCCGAUGCGACGGCUCGGACUGAACAUCAUGCCGGUUCUUUCUUGGUGCAGUUCAUUGUUCGGAGAUCCGUGCUUUUACUUUGAAAAAAUUAGAGUUCCAAACCAGGCGGAGUCGCCUGAAAAACUGCAUGGGAAUAGAACAAGACCUCGUUUCUGUUCUGUUGGUUUUUGGAAUACGAGGUAAUGAUUAAGAGGGACGGACGGGGGCAUUCGUAUUGCGGCGCUAGAGGUGAAAUUCUUGGACCGUCGCAAGACGAACUACUGCGAAAGCAUUUGCCAAGAAUGUUUUCAUUGAUCAAGAAGAAAUCAGGUUCGAAGGCGAUCAGAUACCGCCCUAGUUCUGACCAUAAACGAUGCCAACCAGCGAUCCUCCUGAGUUACUCAAAUGACUCGGCGGGCAGCUUCCGGGAAACCAAAGUAUUUGGGUUCCGGGGGAAGUAUGGUUGCAAAGCUGAAACUUAAAGGAAUUGACGGAAGGGCACCACCAGGAGUGGAGCCUGCGGCUUAACAUUGUGACUCAACCCACGGAAAACUGUACCCGGCCCCCGACAGGGGAGAUUGAAGAUUGAAGCCUUUCUUGAUUUUGCGGUGAUGUCGGUGCACUGGCCGUUCUUAGUCUGGUGGAGCGAUUUGUCUGUUAUCGGAAUUAACGAGACUCUAGCCUAUUAAAGAGGCGCGGGGUUCCCAGCACCUUACAACCUUCUUAGAGGGACAAGCGGCUCCUAGCCGCACGAAACAGAGCAAUAACAGGUCUGUGAUGCCCUUAGAUGUCCGGGGCCGCACGCGCGCUACACUGAAGGAAGCAGCGUGUCUUUAUCCCUGUCUGAAAAGACUGGGUAACCCGUGGAACUUCUUUCGUGAUUGGGAUAGGGGCUUGCAAUUGUUCCCCUUGAACGAGGAAUUCCCAGUAAGCGCGAGUCAUAAGCUCGCGUUGAUUACGUCCCUGCCCUUUGUACACACCGCCCGUCGCUACUACCGAUUGAAUGAUUUAGUGAGGUCUUCGGACCGAUGUCCGGCGCGGCCUUUCGGUUGCGCCGGUCUGUUGGAAAGAUGACCAAACUUGAUCAUUUAGAGGAAGUAAAAGUCGUAACAAGGUUUCCGUAGGUGAACCUGCGGAAG